UGGGCUGUAGCCAAGUGGUAAGGCACCCGUUUUUGAUAUGGGUUAUCAUGAGUUCGAAUCCCAUCAGCCCAA
rnacentral:tRNA from 1 species